rnacentral:lncRNA from 1 species
UGAUCAAAUAACAUUCAUUUAUUAAUUUCAAAUACUUUUUAAAAAUUACAAAUUACCUUACAUCCAAAACAUAAAAUAUAUUAAAGUAACUAAAACAAAACCUAAUAAAUGCCACAUUUCCAAAAGAUAGAUUCAUCACCAGAAAUUAAGUUGAGGUCGGGAUUGACUCGGAUGCUGAACCGAACUUCAACAACACCUAGCCUGCGCACAGAAACAAACCGUGCGCUGAGUAUUGGAAAUACUCAGUGGCAUUACCAUAAUUCAAAUUUUAGCAAAUAUAAAAUAUCAUAAACAUGCAUAGAUAAUUAACAAAUCAUGCAUAUAAUUCGUACCAAGUUAUCAUAUUUCCAUUGUAUCAUUUUCAUUAUUUGAAUCAAUAUCUCAUCAAUAACAUUACCAACUAUUCAUGAACCUUUGGUUCAUCUCUCAAUCACAGAUAAAUAUCCAAUUCACAUUUCAAAUAUGAAUAAUUCAUGAACCUUGGUUUGAUGCCUUCAAUCUCAUAGCACAAAUUGCAUUUCUCAUUUCAUCUUACAAUAUCAUUUUCUCAUUCCAUUCAAUAAAUCAAUUUAUCAAUUUCAUUUGAUUUUUCUCAUCACAUAUAUUUCCCCUAUUAACAUAACUCGGACUUUGAAGGAUACACGGAUCCAACCAAACACACCAGAGUGGCGGCCAACGCCUCAUUGGAUAGUUCGAAGUAGGGGGUGUGCAAAAUUCGGGUAAAACUUGUAACACCCCUCACCCGCAUCCGACGCCGGGACGGGGUUCGAGGUGCUACCUGACUUUUACUAACACUUCUAUACUAAACAGGGCCAUGAAAUCUCAAAUAAUUAAAAACUUUUCUUUUCACAUACAAUUUGUCCCAUAUACGGGCUUACAAGGCCCCAAACAUACAUCUGGAGUGGUUCGGGACCCAACCGAGAACUCAUAAAAAACUUAGAAAAUCUCUUGCAUCAAGGCUUCAUACGCCCGUGUGGGUAUAGAGCAGACGCCCGUGUGCUAGGGACACGCUCGUGUCCCGAACCCGUGUCCAAAAACCUAGACAAAUACAAGGCUAUUUUCCAAGCCAUUUUGUCACACUCACAACAGAUGCACGCAUACUUAUACAAUAACAUAAACAUGGCAAAAUUAGGUACUUAAACAUUCCUAACAUGUCAUGAUUAUGGCAAUUUCACAUGCAAUAGAUAUCAUAGAUUUUACUCACAUCUUUACCACAUUCAUGCUAUAAUCAUUAUAAACUCAUCACAUAAUACCAUAGCACAUGCAUGCAUAAUUAAAAUGGAUUUACAACCCCAUAAUCAAAAUAGGCCAACACAUAUGGCUAAAGCCAUAUCACAUACUCUAAUAUUUAAACUCCUAUACAUGCCAUAGGCUCAAAGUACUUGAAAUCACUACACCAAUAAUGUUAGCUUGACAGUGUGAUAAUAUCUCCGACGAACUCCAACCCGAGCUAACCUGGCAACCCUAGGAAACAUGGGAAAGAAGGGGGGUAAGCUUUCGCUUAGUAAGUUCAUAUGAAAACAAUAAGCAACUCAUUAACUUGUUUUAUCAAUGUUUACAACAUAUUCUCAAGUUCACUACAAGCUGUCUUUCUGAGAAAUAGUCACUAAAUUAUUUAUAUCUAGAGCUAUGAAACUCCGAAUUAAGUUCCGUUAAUUUUCCAUGAAACUAGACUUAUUUUCCUUUCUUCCAUAAAAUUUCCAGAAUUUUUGGUUAAGCCAAAUAGUACAGUUUAUUCCUCAAAGUUACCCCUGAUUCACUGUCUGAUAGUUCCGACCCUUCUGUACUAAAGUUCAAUUAUCUCAUAGUACAAGACUUGAAUAAUGUUCUCGUCUAUUUCUCUUGAAACUAGACUCAUAUUUCUACUUACUAAUUUUUUUCUAGAAUUUUUGGUUUGGCCAAUUAGUACAGUUUAUUAGUUAAAGUCUUCCCUGUUUCAGGGUAUGACCACUCUGAGCCCUGUGCACUACGAACCGAAUUUCUCCCUGUACAGAAUUCCAACAACCAUGCCGUUUAUUUCCCAUAAAAAUAGACUCAAUAAGGAAUCCAUGAAUGUAAGGUAUGACUCUUAAUAAUUUUUUUACAAUUUUUAGUGAAUUUCUAAAGUCAGAAUAGGGGAUCUCGAAUUCAUUCAGACCCUGUUUCACAAGAAUUCAAAUAUCACACAAUAUGAAAUUCUUUUUCUUCCCCUGUUUCUUUCAUGUGAAAAUAGACUCAUUAAGCUUUAAUCCCAUAUUUUAUUCUGCCUCUAACUCAUUUUCCACUAUUUCUAGUGUAUUUUCAAAGUUACACUACUGCAGUAACUCAAAUCUGUCAAGGCUAAAUUACUCAUUCAUGAUCAUUGUUCACAAAAUUAAUACAACAUCAUUUGUAUAAUCAUCACCAAGACAUUCAUAUCACAUUUUCAUUUACCAUCUUACCAUUUUGUUGUUAUGUCGAGUUUUCAACCAGAGGAUUAAGUACAUACCUGUUCAAAGUAUCUAUUUCACAACAUUUAUUAAUACGUCCCUUUCAUCUCGAGUAUUCCUCCAUUUGAGUAGAAUUUUACCCAUUGAACACAUUGGAAUAUAAUUCGGAUACAUGGAAAGUUUGCACAUAAGUGCCACAUAUGUAGCCAAGCUACCAUGUAACCCGCCCAUAAGUGAACUCGGACUCAACUCAACAAGCUCGGGCAUUCGCAUCCAUAAGUGAACUCGGACUCAACUCAACGAGUUCGAACAUUUGCAUCCAUAAGUGAACUCGGACUCAACUCAACGAGCUCGGAUGCCCAAAUAUUCUAGUGACAUGUCACUUGUAUCCUAAUCUAUUCCUAAGGUUCAACGGGACCUUUUUCCCAAUCAUGUGUCUCAACCAUCUUCUACGGAAUGCCGAUACCAAUACUCGGUAGUAUUUCACAUUUUCCAAGUAUAUCAUAUAAUUUGACAUAUUAUCAAACAAUUAUCACAAGUAUAAUAUCUCAUAAUAAUUAUCAUAUCAUUUAAAUAACAUCAAAACAUUUAAAAUAAUAACUAUGUUACCAACAUUUACAUAUGAACUUACCUCGAUACCACAAAGGUAAAAAAGACAUAAUUAUCCCUUAAUCGAUUUCUUUCCGUUCUAGGUCCAAAUCUCGAUUUUCAUCAUCUAAAAUAUCACAUUCAACUUAUUAAAACAAUGUACUGAUCAAAUUAGUCCAUUGACACACUUGAGCAAUUUUUACAAUUUUGCCCCUAUAUUUUUCCAAAAUUACCAAAUUACCUCUAGGCUCGUAAAAUAAUUUUUAUCACAUUUCUUUACUCCUUGAGUCUAGAUGAACCAUUUUCAUAACUAUAGCAACUCAUAAUUUCAACUAUUUCACACAUUUACAACUCAUUUUACAACUUAGCAAUCUAGCCCUUUUUAAGGUGUUUUCAUGCAAUUUCUUUCACAAAAGUUGUUUAUUAGACAACUAGGACUCAUAAUCUUCCAUAAAAACACAGUAAACAACACAUUUACUCUCAUGGAAAAACCCUAGACUCUUCAUCAUUUUGCAAAAUAGACCCCUCAUAUGAAAGCUCAUGCUUUAGGGGUUCCAAAAAUGUAAAAAUCAUCAAGAAAGACAUUAAAAAUCACUUACUAGCAAGGGAUGUAAGUGGCUGAUAUUUCAGAGCUUCAAAACCCCUUUCUUUUCUGCCAUUUUCGGUGGAGGAGAAGAGAAAAAUGAUAGCUUUUUCUUUUUAAUUUG